rnacentral:tRNA from 1 species
GCACUGAUGGCCUAGUGGUUAAAGUUCAGCAUUCUCACUGCUGAGGUGGCCUGGGUUCACUUCCUGGUCAUGGCA